rnacentral:rRNA from 1 species
AGAAUCAACGCUGGCGGCGUGCCUAACACAUGCAAGUCGCACGAGAAAGUGGAGCAAUCCAUGAGUAAAGUGUCGCACGGGUGAGUAACACGUGAAUUAUCUACCUCCGAGUGGGGAAUAACUGAGAGAAAUCUUAGCUAAUACCGCAUAACACUUACGAGUCAAAGCAGCAAUGCGCUUGGAGAGGAGUUCGCGGCCGAUUAGUUAGUUGGCGGGGUAAUGGCCCACCAAGACGAUGAUCGGUAUCC